UACAGAGGGGGCAAGCGUUGUCCGGAAUUAUUGGGCGUAAAGAGCGCGUAGGCGGUCCGAUAAGUCGGCUGUGAAAGUCAAGGGCUCAACCCUUGAAAGCCGGCCGAUACUGUCGGACUAGAGUCCGGAAGAGGCGAGUGGAAUUCCCGGUGUAGCGGUGAAAUGCGCAGAUAUCGGGAGGAACACCAAUGGCGAAGGCAGCUCGCUGGGACGUGACUGACGCUGAGACGCGAAAGCGUGGGGAGCAAACAGG
rnacentral:rRNA from 1 species